UAGGGAAUCUUGCGCAAUGGAGGAAACUCUGACGCAGCAACGCCGCGUGUGUGAUGAAGGCUCUCGGGUCGUAAAGCACUGUCGUGAGGGAAGAAAAUGACGGUACCUCACAAGAAAGGACCGGCUAACUUCGUGCCAGCAGCCGCGGUAAGACGAGGGGUCCUAGCGUUGUUCGGAAUCAUUGGGCGUAAAGCGGGUGCAGGCGGCUAAGCCAGUCAGAUGUGAAAUCCCUGGGCUCAACCCAGGACGUGCAUUUGAUACUACUUAGCUUGAAUGUCAAAGAGGUUCGCGGAAUUCCAGGUGUAGUGGUGAAAUACGUAGAUAUCUGGAGGAACAUCGGUGGGGAAGCCGGCGGACUGGUUGAACAUUGACGCUCAGACCCGAAAGCGUGGGGAGCAAACAGGAUUAGAUACCCCCGUAGUCC
rnacentral:rRNA from 1 species